rnacentral:sRNA from 1 species
AGACGAAAGCAACGAGCACCUCAAAUGA